UACGAAGGGUGCAAGCGUUAAUCGGAAUUACUGGGCGUAAAGGGUGCGUAGGCGGUUCGUUAAGUCUGUCGUGAAAUCCCCGGGCUCAACCUGGGAAUGGCGUUGGAUACUGGCGAGCUAGAGUGUGUCAGAGGAUGGUGGAAUUCCCGGUGUAGCGGUGAAAUGCGUAGAGAUCGGGAGGAACAUCAGUGGCGAAGGCGGCCAUCUGGGACAACACUGACGCUGAGGCGCGAAAGCGUGGGGAGCAAACAGG
rnacentral:rRNA from 1 species